AUUGAACGCUGGCGGCAGGCUUAACACAUGCAAGUCGAGCGGAGAGAGGUAGCUUGCUACUGAUCUUAGCGGCGGACGGGUGAGUAAUGCUUAGGAAUCUGCCUAUUAAUGGGGGGCAACAUUUCGAAAGGAAUGCUAAUACCGCAUACGUCCUACGGGAGAAAGCAGGGGAUCUUCGGACCUUGCGCUAAUAGAUGAGCCUAAGUCGGAUUAGCUAGUUGGUGGGGUAAAGGCCUACCAAGGCGACGAUCUGUAGCGGGUCUGAGAGGAUGACCCGCCACACUGGGACUGAGACACGGCCCAGACUCCUACGGGAGGCAGCAGUGGGGAAUAUUGGACAAUGGGCGGAAGCCUGAUCCAGCCAUGCCGCGUGUGUGAAGAAGGCCUUAUGGUUGUAAAGCACUUUAAGCGAGGAGGAGGCUACUUUAGUUAAUACCUAGAGAUAGUGGACGUUACUCGCAGAAUAAGCACCGGCUAACUCUGUGCCAGCCGCCGCCGUAA
rnacentral:rRNA from 1 species